rnacentral:rRNA from 1 species
UACGUAGGGAGCAAGCGUUGUUCGGAGUUACUGGGCGUAAAGGGUGUGUAGGCGGUUCUCUAAGGUUGGUGUGAAAUCUCCCGGCUCAACUGGGAGGGUGCGCCGAAAACUGGGGGGCUAGAGUACUGGAUGGGAGAGUGGAAUUCCUGGUGUAGCGGUGAAAUGCGUAGAUAUCAGGAGGAACACCUGUGGUGUAGACGGCUCUCUGGACAGUAACUGACGCUGAGACACGAAAGCGUGGGUAGCAAACAGG